AGCUAUUUACAGUCAAUUGAGACUCAAUCGAAUAAAUCUCCAAACCCUAACAUGCGAGGAGUGAGAUCAAGAUUGGGAGUUGGCUCAAUUGAUUAUAUUAACUCAAUUAGAUCCAUCACAUUUGAGCUAACAUUCGUUUAAUCGAGCUUUGAUACCAUAUCAAGGAGCUUCAUCUAUGGUGGUUAAGAGAGAAGAAAUGUGAGGAAUAAGAGGAAAUAAAAGAAACCGAAGCAAUCAUUGAG
rnacentral:lncRNA from 1 species